GGUUUGGGCAUGGGCGAANCCUGNCCACAACGCCGCGUGGAGGAUGACGGCCUUCGGGUUGUAAACUCCUUUGGAGGGGGACGAGGAAGGACGGUACCCCUCGAACAAGUCACGGCUAACUACGUGCCAGCAGCCGCGGUAAAACGUAGGUGGCAAGCGUUAUCCGGAUUUACNUGGGCGUAAAGCGUGUGCAGGCGGGGGUGCAAGUGGUGUAUGAAAGCUCCAGGCUUAACCUGGAGAGGUUAUGCCAGACUGCGCUUCUUGAGGCGGAGAGAGGGACAUGGAAUUCCGGGUGUAGUGGUGAAAUGCGUAGAGAUCCGGAGGAACUCCAGAGGCGAAGGCGGUGUCCUGGCUCUGACCUGACGCUCAGACACGAAAGCAUGGGGAGCGAACGGGAUUAGAAACCCCGGUAGUCCAUGCCGUAAACGAUGCAGACUAGGCGUUGGCGGUCUCAACCCCGUCGGUGCCGAAGCAAACGCGAUAAGUCUGCCGCCUGGGGACUACGACCGCAAGGUUAAAACUCAAAAAAAUUGACGGA
rnacentral:rRNA from 1 species